CAGGAGUGUGUGUGCAGUCUGAGUCUGCGUGAGUUCCCCUUCCCCCACUGUUCUCCUGCGGCGUGAGAGUACAAAUGGGAGAAGGCUGCAUUCCUCAGCUCGCCUCUUUCUCCAAACUGUUGCUGGGAGGGGUGAGUUAAUCCCUCUUUGAUAUCUUUUCCUAUAGCGCCUAUUUCUCAAAUAAAGGCUCUGUCAUCGCCUUUGUUUGCUCUACAUCUUGGUGAGAAAGGCAGGAGCAACAUCACUCCAGCAUGCUCUAGUCCAUGAGGAAAUAUCAUGACACCCUGUGGUGCACUGCUGAACUUUUGGGAACUGGCAAGCCUGAAUCAGAAGUGCUACUGGUCCAUGAAGAUAUGCCUCUAGAAAGAAUAUCAAGUACUGGCCCAACAGAACCGUGGAAAAGACUGCCUAUAAUUGCCUUUAUUGCCUUAACAUUCUGCACUGUGGCGGGUAUUGUACAUGCAUCGUGAAGUACAUUGUAUUUUGAGCCACCAAACUGCAGGAGCUCGCUUCCUACCUGCUCAGUCAUUGGUUCAUGCUGUGAAGGGGUUGGAGUGUAGUGGAAUUCCUAGGUCACAGUCUGAACCAAUGGGUGAGCACAUGAGUGCCUGGAGCGGGGGGGGGGGGGCUAGAGUCACCCCUUCUGUCUCAGGGAUGCUUCUUGGAGCGCGUGUGCAGUCUGAGCCUGUGUGCGUUCCCUUUCCCCCGCCCUUCUGCAGCGCAAGAAUGCGAACAGGAGAAGGCUGCGUUCCUCAGCUCGCCCCUUUUUCCAAACUGUUUUUUGGAGGGGCAGGAGCAACAUCACUCAAACACGCUUAUGAGGAAACAUCAUGACACCCUGUGACGCACUGCUGAACUUUUGGGGACUGGAGAGCAUGAAUCAGAAGCGCUACUGGUCCUUGAAAAAGAUACGCCUCGAGAAAGAACAUCAAGUACUGGCCCAACAGAACCGUGAAGGGGACUGCCACUGAUUGCCUUUAUUGUUUUGACAUCCCAUAUUGCGGCGGAUGUUGUGUAUGCGUCGCGAUGUGCAUUGUGUCUUGGGCCACCAGGUUGCAGGGGCUCACCCCCUACCUGCUCAGUCAUUGGUUCAUGCUGUGAAGGGGUGGAGUGUAGUGGAAUUCCAGGGUCACAGCCUGAACCAAUGGGUGGGCUCUGUGAGUGUGUGAGUGCGGCGGCGCGGCAGUACGAGCGGGGGAGGGACACAUUCCUCAGCUCGGCUCUGCCUGCGCGCUGCUACCGGGAGGGGUGAGUCGAUUCUUUUUGAUAUCUUUCCCUCGUGUGCCUAUUUCUUAAAUAAAGGCUUUGUCAUUACCUUCAUUUGCUCUACAGCUACAUAUUACCUACAAAAAAUAAUCCACAGAAAGGAGAUCAGUGACUCUUUCCCAUGGCCUGAGGAAGCUCUUGGAAUUAUAUGGACAGAAGUAGAAGAGAGUCACUUCCUUGGCCUGUCCUAUAGCCACAGAGACUCCUGUUGCAUUUUCCAAGCUGCAAACUAAGGACUAAGCAACCUCUGCCCUUCCUGCAGCCAGCACUCCCCUGAUGUAGUCCAGUGUGUGUACAGGGAACCUUGGACAGCUCUUAGCUCUCUCACCCACUGCUCCUUUCUGUACUCAGCCCAAACACAGAAACCAGAUCACACAAGUUUUCAGACCACAGAUCACAUGUUCUAGCUCUUUUGUACAACACAUGUCCAGAGACAGUUUAAUAAUACUUUCAUCAGAGACUUACAGGCACUUACAUAAAUGGUUCAGCUUUCUCAGCUGUAGGCACCAUUUUUGACAGAACUCAUCUUAGUAUAUUCACAUGAAAUACAGAAAUGAGUUGAAGUAUUUGUGUCUUUAAAAUGAGGAGAAGAAAAAGCCAGUCUGAACUCAAAUACCUUGGCUUACCAAUAUCACAUUUUUUUUUUUAACUAUUUACAGACAUUUUAAAAACACUACUUACAUGCCCCAAAAUGAUGCUUUUAAACAUAAUUCCAACUACAGUUAGCUCAAAUUAUCUAAGCUUUUUUUUUCCCCCGAGUAUAGCAAAGUAAUGCCUCUCAAAUUUAAUUUACAUAAUAAUUAAGCUAGAUUUCUCUGAAGACUCAUACAAUAUAAUCCCUAUUUUAUCAAUAAAUAGAUGGUUGUUGCAUAUUUUACAAUUUAUACAGAAUUGUAUGGAAUGUACUAAAGGAUAUUAACUAUGGCAUCACUUACUGACCACAUCAUACAAAUAUCACUUGUGGGUUAGAGCUCAUGAGAUUUUAAGGAGUUUUUAAAAACAUUUAUCAAUAAAUAAACAAAAUACUUUUUAUGGAGUCUGAAAAUUAAGAAAUUGAGAUUGAGGAUGUGGUGCAUCAGGAAUUAUGAUACAGGAUACAAAAUCAUUCUUCCAUUGAAUGCCACUGAUCUGACAGUUUUUUAUAAUGCAGAAAAUAGCUUUUGUACCUGAAACUUGUCAAUGCCAUCAACAGAGACAAGUGAGGCGUUAUCAGAUGGACAUAGCAUGGAAUGCCUUUUCUGUUUAAGGUCUAAGGAUACAGUUUGCACAUGGAAGCCUAUCAGUAAUUGUAGCUGUGGAACUAUUCAUUUCACAGGUUACAUUGGUACUGCUCAAAAUUAUCUCAUCCCAAUGUUUUCCUACAGUCAGUGAAAAUCAUAGCCUGAAACAAUUUAAACCUUUUGAGGGAAACAACAACAAAGUACAACAGAAGAACCCCCCUCUAACCUACCUCAACUCUUUCACCCAUAUGAAUGAGUAGAGUAUUUGCUAUGAGCAUAUUACAGUUCAAAGGAGUUUUUUUCUUCAGAAUUAUCCAUCAUCAACAUUUCACUAAUUUGCACAAUCAUCCUAACUCCAUAAGCAUACUCCUCCUGGUGCAGAGACAAAUUCAGACAAAGGAGAUCACCUUCAAAAACCAUUAAAAAGUUGGGGAGAUGAGUCAACAUUUGUAUAUUUUUGAUCUUUCUAUAAUUUUAGAUUAAAGAGGACUGUUUAUUUCCACACAAAAUUGAGAUCACUGGUCUGACUGGUUUCACAGAGCGUUUCAGAUAAACUACAUUUUCUUUACACUACAUGCUACAGCUUCCUUUGGUGGGGAGAAAAACAGAAUGACAGUAGUGAAGGGAACACAGCCCAUAUUCCAGUCUGAUACAUUACUAAGCCACACUUCCACUGUUUGCAAUAUUAUUAGAAGUGCUGUUUCGCACAGUCACUGGUGCCAGAGGACUCAAAAUCAAAUCUGAAGUCAUUAUAUAAAAAUGAUACUGCAGAACUCAAUUUUAACUUCAUUAAAGUAACAAAAUAGCUGACAAAUGGAGCCAUCCACUCUGAUGUGUCUCAGCUUCAAAUAACGCAUAAAACAAUUGGAAACUCAGCCUUAGGGCUGCUGCUGCUGCUUUAAAGUAGUCAGUAGUACUGACAGAGUUAAAAACACUGAAAUGUAACACUACAGAAUUAAAAAGUUAACAAUAAGUCAUGAACCUAACUAAAAUGCAGGUUGAAGUCAAAAGAACAUGAUUAAGACUACAUGGAACCUUGAGCAGUGUUUGAAAGGGAAAGAUGAAGUCUUUUGUUAGGACAGCACAAAUCAAGGACAGCACAGCGUCCCCAGAAUGAUUACACAGCCCUGAAUGAUUUCAGGAAGUUAUGAAAUAAUUUUAGCAAAGAACAACACACAGCACAUACAUUUAAUAAAUUUUCAUCAACUGGCAAACUAUAACAUUAUCAACCUGUUUUUUCUACCCAUUUAUAAAACUGAUCAAACCCACUUCAGAGCAUGUACAUCCUAAAAUCUGCUGUGGCAUAUAUCUUAUUUCUGCAUCCUGUAACUUUAAUUAUUUUAAACUUGCAUCUAAAUAGCUGAAGACAAAAGCUUCAGAACAUGACUUUCACAGUGUAAAACACUGCUGCUUAUUACAGAGUAAACCAAAUUCAGGUUGUAUUUUCCUCUUCAAUAUCUGAUCUUUUAAACUACUCACGUGCUUUACAAGCUUCAGAUAAACUACAUUUGUUAUUUGUUACCUCUAGAAACAAGAAGUCAAAUAUCUGUCCUUUCUUUGAAAGCUUUUUGUGUACUCCUUAUACAGCAUUGGCCUAUCAAGAAAGUAGUCCAGGCUUGGUUGUAGCAUUGCUUCAACAUCAUCAACAGGAAAAAAAAAAAAAAACCAACACAAAAAGCUCUUUCCUUAUUAAAAUUAAUAACAAUAACUAGCCAUCUCUGGAAAACCACAGGAAUUAGAAAUUUUAAACCAACCAGUUUGACAGCAUCCUCUAAUUUCACUGCCUUCUACACAGGCCAUUCUGACUUCACAACUCAAAUAUAUGUUUAAGGGGAAGAAAAGCACACUUCUAAACUACAAGCAAGAUUUUAAAUUAGUCAAAAGUAUUCAUAUUUUAUUCCUUUCAGUCUAUUUGUACUAUUAAAAAUACCACUGUUCCAAUUUCACAUUAAUCUAAUUUAUACAGACUUAAUAAUUGAUGUAGCACAUUUCCUUUUCAAAUAUUGUUCAUACCCCUGUCCCACAGGCUUUUCAAAAAUAUGCAUAUGGCUUAUAGUUUCCAUAAAGUCACAUGACAUACUUUAAGGAUAUCUCCUAUCAAAAAUUGAGGGCUUACUCCAAAUCUGACAGCUUACUCCAAUCUGACAGGAUCCCAAAAAACACUCCUCUAGGAAGAAUUUAAGCUUAUUAGUACUCUUUUACUAGAUUGUUCAAAAAAAAAAAGUACCUUUUCUGCUCAAGUGUUCAUCUAUUUCUUCUCUCAUGCAACACUUGAAGUCACAGUUCUGUUUAUGAGACUGCAAUCAAUUCUUCAGUAGUCAAUUAGAGUAUCUCAAAGGUGUAGGUUUUGGUGAAUAAUAAAGCAAUCAAUUUGAGCUCCUGCAGUCUUGUUCUUAUUUUAGUAUUUCUGAUAAUUACAAAAUAAAUACUCAGAAAGCCAGUUCCUACAUCAUAUUUUAUUAGUGGGAUCAAAGGCAGACUUCUAACACAAGCACUGCUAGCUGAGUUGUCACUGUAAUACUCACUGCAGAUUAAUCAAGAACAAUUUUACCUGCACCAGUGUUCACUGCAGUUCUAGAACACAAGAGAACUCUGCCAGAAGUUUUGAUUUAUGCUGACUGUUCAGUGGCCUGCUGGGAUUCUUACUCAAGUAAGAAAUAAAAUGAAAAAAUUGUUGCCAAUGAGAAAAAAAAAUACUAUAAUUGCAAUUUUUUUUAAGGUAAUGUUUCAGAAUUUCAAACACAAAAAACACCAAAUAGAUAUUAAGAGAAAUAUUACAGAAACUUCAAAGCUAAUAUAUAAUGGAAACAUAUAUAUUAAUUAGCAUCUAAUUCUUUUCCUUUGGUACUUAAAUCUGCAGCAUUACAGUCAUUUUACCAAAAUCAGAAAUCAGACAUGUUGCUUGGUUUCCAUAACCACUUUCUCUUACUAAUCCAAAAUGUACUCCUGAACCCAUAAGAUAGAGCAUGAUCCUCACAGGUGAAUAUUUAUAGAGAAUAAUGAUGGAAUCUGGUCGCAUUUUGAUAAAAAUUGUGCUGAAAGAGUCGCCUGAUGUUCUCAAUGAAGACAGCAGCAGUACAAUUACCUUGUAGUAACUUCUUUUAACACUAAAAACUGACAUGAAAUUGUCUUCAUGAAAUCCUUUCAUUAUUCCCUGGAACAAUGCUUGAGGCAUUAUGCCUGAUUCUGUCAUUAUCACAGCUCUACAUCUUAUUAAUGUAAACCAGGAGUAGAAAGAGAGAUGGUGAAUGAUAUUAAAAUCUGCCAUUUUGAGAAUAAUGUUCCAAAACAGAUCAAAGUGCUUGGAUGAUGCCUCCCAGUUCUCGCAGCUUUCAGUAUCAGUUUAUAAUGUCACCAACAAUUUCACUGCAUAGAAUCAAAAAAAGGCAGGUCCUCCUGUUCUCCAUUUUGGCUCAUUGAGAAGAUAUAGCUCAUCAGAAUGUUGAACCCGGUCCAUUGUUUCAAUUGCUUUAAAGCAAGAAAAAGAAGCAUCCUUCCUAAAUUAUUCCUCUUUGCCUCAUGCAUUUCGGCUCUGCAUCUCUAACACUAGAAUCCCAAACUAUUUCCUCAUAUUACAUGCAGCCUGGCAGAAGCAAAAAUACAGUUAUUAUUUUCUAUGUAGUUUUCACAACACAAAAGCAUUAAAGCUGCUCUUGUGAAAAGAUAUUCUCAAAAGCAAUUUAGUUUACAGUGCUUUUCUUCCACUUCUUGUCUCCUUUCUACACUUUUUGCAGUUACCCAGCUAAAGAGGAGAACGUGCCAGCUCCAUCUAGUUCAUAGAUUACAGCUAUCCUUUGGAAGCAGAGUUAUCCUCUUUCCCUCUGUGUAUAUUUUACUACUCAAGACAGUAAGAAAGAUAUAAAAAGCUAGGUAAGAAAAUUACAUACAACUGAUAUUUUAUAUAAUCAAAGAAUUGUUUGAAUUGGAUGGAAACCUUAGAGGCCAUCUGGUCCAAAUCCCCGGCAAUCAACAGGAAUAUCUACAGCUAAAUCAGGUUGCUCAGAGCCCCCAUCAGCCUGAUCUUGAGUGUCUAAAGGGAUAGGGCAUCCACCACCUUUCUGGGCAAUCUUUUUCCCGUGCCUCACCACCCUCACUGUAAAACACUUUCUUUAUAUCCAACCUGAAGCUCCCCUCUUUUAGUUUGAAACCCUUUUCCCUUUUCCUGUCACAAAAGACCCAGCUAAAGAGUCUGUCCCCAUCCUUCUUAUGGAUCCCCUUUACAUACUGAAAGACUACUCUCAGGUCUCCCCAGAGCCUUCUCUUCUUCAGGCUGAACAACCCCAGCUCUCCCAGUCUGUCCUCAUUGGGAAGGUGGUUCCAUCCCUGGGAUUAUUUUUGUGGACCCCCUCUGGACGUGCUCCAGCAGGUCCAUGUCUCUCUUGUCCUGAGGACUCCACAUCUGGCCACAGUACGCCAAGUGAGGCCUCACCAGUGCAGAGUAGAGAGCAGCUGUAUGAUUUCCCUCCACCUGCUGACCACACUGCUUUGGAUGCAGUCCAGGAUGUGGUUGGCUAUUUUUUUUUUUUUUUAAACCUUGCUAAGCUU
rnacentral:lncRNA from 1 species